rnacentral:rRNA from 1 species
UCAAUGGACGAGAGUCUGAACCAGCCAAGUCGCGUGAGGGAAGACUGCCCUAUGGGUUGUAAACCUCUUUUAUAAGGGAAGAAUAAGUUCUACGUGUAGAAUGAUGCCUGUACCUUAUGAAUAAGCAUCGGCUAACUCCGUGCCAGCAGCCGCGGUAAUACGGAGGAUGCGAGCGUUAUCCGGAUUUAUUGGGUUUAAAGGGUGCGUAGGCGGUUUAUUAAGUUAGUGGUUAAAUAUUUGAGCUAAACUCAAUUGUGCCAUUAAUACUGGUAAACUGGAGUACAGACGAGGUAGGCGGAAUAAGUUAAGUAGCGGUGAAAUGCAUAGAUAUAACUUAGAACUCCGAUAGCGAAGGCAGCUUACCAGACUGUAACUGACGCUGAUGCACGAGAGCGUGGGUAGCGAACAGGAUUAGAUACCCUGGUAGUCCACGCCGUAAACGAUGCUCACUGGUUCUGUGCGAUAUAUUGUACGGGAUUAAGCGAAAGUAUUAAGUGAGCCACCUGGGGAGUACGUCGGCAACGAUGAAACUCAAAGGAAUUGACGGGGGCCCGCACAAGCGGAGGAACAUGUGGUUUAAUUCGAUGAUACGCGAGGAACCUUACCUGGGUUUAAAUGGGAAAUGUCGUAUUUGGAAACAGAUAUUCUCUUCGGAGCGUUUUUCAAGGUGCUGCAUGGUUGUCGUCAGCUCGUGCCGUGAGGUGUCGGGUUAAGUCCCAUAACGAGCGCAACCCUUACCGUUAGUUGCUAGCAUGUAAUGAUGAGCACUCUAACGGGACUGCCACCGUAAGGUGAGAGGAAGGCGGGGAUGACGUCAAAUCAGCACGGCCCUUACACCCAGGGCUACACACGUGUUACAAUGGCCGGUACAGAGGGCCGCUACCAGGUGACUGGAUGCCAAUCUCAAAAGCCGGUCGUAGUUCGGAUUGGAGUCUGUAACCCGACUCCAUGAAGUUGGAUUCGCUAGUAAUCGCGCAUCAGCC